GCUAGCAUGCCUGAGAGAGCAGUUCAGAGGGUCUUAGCACUAAUUGACCAAUUGACAUAAGGGAGCAGUCACCUCUGUGGCCAAUAUUUGACUAGAGGGUGUCAAACUAAAUGUUUAUAGCAGGGGACCAAAGCACUGUAACAGAGGAGCGAAGAAACUGGGGCCCAGUCAUAUGGAGCAGCUGUUACCUGGCUGAAACCCACUUGUCGUCAGAGGAAGGCUAACGAGACCAACAAACAACGCCGAAAAAACAAACAACGCCGAAAACAACUACUGUUGCCUCUACAUUCAGCAGCGUUAUACAGCGUCUCGCAGCGAACCGGACCAUCCAAAAGCAUCGAACACCACGCAGGGGAAGACUAUGAGGAAUUGAUGUGGAACCCCAUGACCCGCACGUCUUUACUGUAGUGCCACAUUUAGACAAACAGGAAAACAAGAGCUAAACCUGUGCCAGCCAAGGCACUUAAUGCUGCAAAUUACACCAUUUCCCUCUCAUUUGAUUCCAGAAAGAGAACAAGGGCUGCACAAUGAGCGUGGACUGUGCAGUAAUAAUCUGACUAUUUCUUGCUACUUUUCCAUGGUGUUAAAAGUAUUUCUUAUUUACAAAACCAUUUCUGCACCUCGGCUGUGCAGCCGAUGUUCUGUUAUAGAGGUCUUCUCGCCCAUAAAGGGGUAUUCCAGGAGCCCCAUAGCCUGUCGCCACAAAUAUUCAUCACCCCAUUUUAUUCUCUUUUUCUAUGUGUCUUGCCUUAUUUCCAUGCAUUGCAACAUCAUUUCAGACACUGGCUGGGCCUACAGCAACAUUUAUCCUGGUGCAUAAACAGAAUUUUUGAAUAGUACAUACUGACACAUACACUCUGGGGUAACUAUGCAUACAUGCUCACCAAUGGAAUAUUUAUAUGUCACGCAGAGGUACUCAUAUGGGCACUGUAAUAGCUGUCAUUAAUCUCUGUCAGUAUCUACACUACUUACAAAAAGUUAGGGAUAUUUGGCUUGUGGGUGAAAUGUCAGAAAAAAACUAAAAUGCACUCUAACCUUUACAGGUGAACUUAAUGAGACCUUUUCUAAACUUUGGAAUGCACAAAUCCAACUGUUCAAUGUUUUAGUACUUUUUGCACAACUUGCUGUUCUCUAACAAGGAGCUUAACGCCAAAAUUCACAACAGGUGUUUGAUCCAUGAAUCACCCAAUAAAUUUCCUGGUUCAAUUAAGACAGCUAACAAUUGAUCAACAUUACCUUGCCAUUGUGAGGCUUGAAACUGUGAGAUGUGGAAACACUUGUCUGAACUCUGUUUGUGUAAAUUAAAUGAUCUGGACUGACAUUCUGCAGUUUGGCUACAAGAUGCCGCUGUUUCCUAAACACAGCUACAGACUACAUAUAUUUUCAUAUUCAUGAGAGGUGGA